rnacentral:rRNA from 1 species
UACGGAGGGGACUAGCGUUGUUCGGAAUUACUGGGCGUAAAGCGCACGUAGGCGGAUUUGUAAGUCAGGGGUGAAAUCCCGAGGCUCAACCUCGGAACUGCCUUUGAUACUGCAAAUCUCGAGUCUGGAAGAGGUGAGUGGAAUUCCUAGUGUAGAGGUGAAAUUCGUAGAUAUUAGGAAGAACACCAGUGGCGAAGGCGGCUCACUGGUCCGGUACUGACGCUGAGGUGCGAAAGCGUGGGGAGCAAACAGG